UCGUCGGGCCGCCGGAGGAUAACCAGACUCUGAUUUAACGACGUUUCUUCUGAGUGGCACAAGCAAAUAAUCAAAACUUUUAACAACGGAUCUCUUGGUUCUGGCAUCGAUGAAGAACGCAGCGAAAUGCGAUAAGUAAUGUGAAUUGCAGAAUUCAGUGAAUCAUCGAAUCUUUGAACGCACAUUGCGCCCGCCAGCAUUCUGGCGGGCAUGCCUGUUCGAGCGUCAUUUCAACCCUCAAGCUCUGCUUGGCGUUGGGGCCCUACGGCUGACGUAGGCCCUCAAAGGUAGUGGCGGACCCUCUCGGAGCCUCCUUUGCGUAGUAACUUUUUGUCUCGCACUGGGAUCCGGAGGGGCUUUCCGGCCGUAAAACCCCCCAAUCUUCCAAAGGUGACCUCG
rnacentral:sRNA from 1 species